ACAGUUAUGGCGGUUUAUUGAAUAGUCUCAACCGUUAGAGCAGCAGGUACGCUGUGUUGUGCUGCUUUCUGCUUCAGAGUUAGUGAGUUAGUCUGUAACAGUUUAAUCUAGAACAGGUCUCACAUCUAAGUAUGAAAAGCAAAGAAGAAAUGAAACCGAUGUUCCUUUGCAUUGGACUGAACGUCUUUCUUCCGUGACUCAGCAUCUGAAGUUUCCAAGAAGAGAUUCUUGAAAGUACAGCCUUUUCUUCUCUAGUAUCAUCUCCUUGCCAGGCGAGCAAUCCAUAAAGCUGUUACACACCUUCAUCUUAGCUCUUAUCCACCUCACAGUCCUUUGAACUCAGAAGGACUUGAUUUAGGUUAAACAUCAGGAAGAAUUUCCUAACCAUCAGAAUAAUUGGGCAAUUGAACAAAUUUGCCACGGGAAGAUGCACAGUCCCCCAUUAUUCUGAAGUUAUUAAACAGAGGUGAAACCUCCCUCGGUGAUGAUUUGUGAAGAGAAUGGACAAAGCUGCAAAAAUAAUAGCCCCCAAAAGCCUCAGAUAUGCACACCUCCUCGUUGGACAUUCAUUAUCAACCCUCGUGUUCGUCUUUUAUCUACAAGUCCUCUUCAGUGUUCAGCAUAAACUACAUGGACACCUUGCAGAUUGACAUUUCUUCAUUCAUGCUUUACCUUAAACAGCAUGCAAAGACAUCAAAGAAAUGGAGCUGGCUUUGAUGUUACAAAAUGAAAAACGCCUCAUGAUUUGCCAAGACCAGGGGAACUUCUAGUUUGCGCUCUCUCUCUCUCUUUCUCUCUCUCCUCCACCUUAAAGGUGGGGGGAGAUCCAACUUCCCUUCAGACAUGUGAAAAAUCUUUUCCUAUUGUUCGACCAAUUUACCCAAAUGUUGCUUCCCAGCUGAAACACAAACCAGCGUGGACAACCUUUUUCUCAGUUAAGGGUCUCAUUCCUUCAUAAGUAAUCUAUUAAGGGCCAAGGGAUAAAAGUGCCCUGGAUUAGCUAAUCCAGACUAAAGAAGGGCAUGCUCCAACUUUCACCAUGGUCAUCUCAGGAGCAGAACGACGACCAGAUAGGAGGAUAAAAUGAGAGUUGCCUAAAGCAAACCAUGGAGGGUGGAAUUUGAAGGCUCCUCUUUUGGGAGUUGCCUCUUUGGAAACUGGACAGUUUCAGAAAUCCCUGCUUGGGAAUUUCAAGCAAAGUUGUAGGAGUUUCAUUAGGUAUAGUUUCUAGAAGGGUCACCUUUCAUGUUGUAAAACCAGCCAAGAAACUUGUGCUACCUGAAAAACUGAAAAAAAUUAUGGUGGCAUAAGCUUUCAUGGACCAGGGUGCAGUUCAUCAGACGCAUGGAGAGAGAGACAGAGGGAGAGAUCUUUCACCAAACUCAGG